rnacentral:rRNA from 1 species
AGGGCACCACCAGGAGUGGAGCCUGCGGCUUAAUUUGACUCAACACGGGAAAACUCACCCGGCCCGGACACUGGAAGGAUUGACAGAUUGAGAGCUCUUUCUUGAUUCAGUGGGUGGUGGUGCAUGGCCGUUCUUAGUUGGUGGAGUGAUUUGUCUGGUUAAUUCCGAUAACGAACGAGACUCUAGCCUACUAAAUAGAUCGUCGGCUUACAAACGCCGGCGAGACUUCUUAGAGGGACAGGCGGUGAUUCAACCGCACGAAACAGAGCAAUAACAGGUCUGUGAUGCCCUUAGAUGUCCGGGGCCGCACGCGCGCUACACUGAAGUGAUCAGCGUGCUUUUUCAACCUACUCUGUCAAGAGUGGGGAACCCAAUGAACCUUCUUCGUGAUUGGGAUAGGGGAUUGUAAUUAUUCCCCUUGAACGAGGAAUUCCCAGUAAUCGCGAGUCAUAAGCUCGCGUUGAUUACGUCCCUGCCCUUUGUACACACCGCCCGUCGCUACUACCGAUUGAAUGUUUU